GGCCUCCUGAUGCUUACUACAGGCUGGGUUUGUAUAUACAAAGAGAAGGCAGAGUAAGCCUACCCCAUGUACAACUCAGCCCAGGACCUGUGUCUGGUUGGUGUUGUGAAUGGGGAGACAUGG
ensembl:snoRNA